rnacentral:rRNA from 1 species
CUGGGCGUAAAGCGCACGCAGGCGGUUUGUUAAGUCAGAUGUGAAAUCCCCGGGCUCAACCUGGGAACUGCAUCUGAUACUGGCAAGCUUGAGUCUCGUAGAGGGGGGUAGAAUUCCGGGUGUAGCGGUGAAAUGCGUAGAGAUCUGGAGGAAUACCGGUGGCGAAGGCGGCCCCCUGGACGAAGACUGACGCUCAGGUGCGAAAGCGUGGGGAGCAAACAGGAUUAGAUACCCUGGUAGUCCACGCCGUAAACGAUGUCGACUUGGAGGUUGUGCCCUUGAGGCGUGGCUUCCGGAGCUAACGCGUUAAGUCGACCGCCUGGGGAGUACGGCCGCAAGGUUAAAACUCAAAUGAAUUGACGGGGGCCCGCACAAGCGGUGGAGCAUGUGGUUUAAUUCGAUGCAACGCGAAGAACCUUACCUGGUCUUGACAUCCACGGAAGUUUUCAGAGAUGAGAAUGUGCCUUCGGGAACCGUGAGACAGGUGCUGCAUGGCUGUCGUCAGCUCGUGUUGUGAAAUGUUGGGUUAAGUCCCGCAACGAGCGCAACCCUUAUCCUUUGUUGCCAGCGGUCCGGCCGGGAACUCAAAGGAGACUGCCAGUGAUAAACUGGAGGAAGGUGGGGCUGACGUCAAGUCAUCAUGGCCCUUACGACCAGGGCUACACACGUGCUACAAUGGCGCAUACAAAGAGAAGCGACCUCGCGAGAGCAAGCGGACCUCAUAAAGUGCGUCGUAGUCCGGAUUGGAGUCUGCAACUCGACUCCAUGAAGUCGGAAUCGCUAGUAAU